UGGAUGUAAAAAUAUUCAUUUCGCAUAACAGGUGGUUAUAUAACCACCUGUUAUGCGAAAUGAAUAUUUUUACAUCCACAUUUUUG
rnacentral:miRNA from 1 species